rnacentral:rRNA from 1 species
CAAUAGCGUAUAUUAAAGUUGUUGCGGUUAAAAGCUCGUAGCUGGAUUUCUUCUCUUAUCAGCCGGUCCUCACUUCGUGAGAGUAUCUGGUCAGAUUUGAGAAUCCUCUUGAGGAACGUCGCUGCGCUUGAUUGCGUGGCACGGUAUUCAAGACUUUUACUUUGAGGAAAUUGGAGUGUUCACGGCAGGCAUUCGCCUUGUACACAUUAGCAUGGAAUAAUAAUAUAGGAUCACGACCCUAUUUUGUUGGUUUCUAGAGUUGUGAUAAUGAUUAAUAGGGAUAAUUGGGGGCACUCGUAUUAACGCGUCAGAGGUGAAAUUCUUGGAUUGCGUUACGACGAACUACUGCGAAAGCAUUUGCCAAGGAUGUUUUCAUUGAUCAAGAACGAAAGUGCAGGGAUCGAAGAUGAUUAGAUACCAU